UUUCCAUUCAUUGCGACUAAUUAAUUAUUUCUAAUUGACGUAAUUUAUUUCGAAAAAGAAGAGAGUCAAAGUUAGUUCCUGUGUCGAGGGAAAAUAUUGAUCAGUAGUAGUAACAGAACAACAAAUCUGGUGCGUGUGCGUGCAUGAGAGAGAGAUAUAGAGAAGUAGGCAGAGGAUAGGAAAAGACAACACACACAAAAGAGCGGAGGAGAGUCAGGAAAAUGUUUGGAAAGAGAAGGAGAAGAGCUCCAAAAGAUUUGUGGAACUAACUACACGUCACGAAAACUCCAAUCGAAAACUACUGCUGUAACCACCUGGACUUCCAUCACACCUGAAAAGUGCCACCUGUUGGAUUCCUCUACGCUACGUGUUCAAGCAGUCAUAUUAUACAUUCUCACAAACUUAUGAUACCAAGUCACACGCACACACACAAAUCACAUCUCUCUCUCUCUCUCUCUGUGACCGCGUGUGUAUCGUUGGCGAUUUUCUUUCUCCGUCUUCCCUUCUUUGGACUUUUUCUAUAUUUCUGACGAAGAGUUCCACUCGAAACGUUAAAUCCUCUUUCUUUUCUUUCCUUUCCUAAGCGUCCAAUAACACAGUACUUGUUCCACGUC